AAAAAAAAAAAAAUUCCUCUGAUGAUUAAAGCAAAAAAUGCACAUUGGAAAAACACAAUGGGGUUCAAGGAAAAAAAUGAAAACCCACCUGGGAAUCGCAUUAUCUAGAUAUCUACUGUUGACAUAUUGCUAAAUUUCUUCCAGGAUUUUUUUCCUCUACAGAUUAUAAUCAGUGUUGUUUCCUCUUUUUUUUUUUGACUGAAGAUUCUAAAUGAGCAUUUUCUAUUGCUAUUAAACCUUUAGAAACACAAUUUUAAAUGAGUGCAUAUGCCAGUGUGUGGCUGGCAUAUGCAGUCAUUUAAAAUUAGUAUUCAUUUUGCUCUCCCACAGUUGAUAGGCGUUUAUAUUAUUUUCAAUUUUUAGCUAUCAUAAAUUAUGCUGGAAAAACCCCCUUGGUCACAAACCUCUGUUCAUGUCCUAGAAGCAAAAUUGCUGAGUCAAAGCUAGAAAUAUUUCUGAGACAGAAAGGCCGUAGCAGAGUGAAGGAGCCCCUCCCCAUCCCCCAGGACCAGCAACUUGGCUCUCAUUGAAAAUUAAUUCUUCAUAAGGCAGUGUGCUAGGGGCAAGGGCUGAAGGCAACGGCAAGUAAGUAAAAGUUGAAAAGGAGAGGGGUGACUGCUUCCACUUUUUCCCUUUUUCUCCGCUGACUCACAUUGCCCAUGAAAUUGUAGACAUUGGAACGUGCUGGAGGGGAGAAAGAGCUCUUAGUAACAGAUUGUUCAGAAGCCCAACAUCGCUUCGUGCUUUGCAUUUCCUUUUCUGUUAAAUUGCCCUGCAUAUGUCUUCUGCCUGUGUCAUAUUCAUUUUUUUUUAAUCCCUCAAAGUACUUACAUUUUGUAAGCAUUCCCUAAAUGCUCGAAAUGGGGGGUAGGAUAGCAUGGUGGACUCAAAUCUGAUUCUGCCAUUUAUUAGCUGGUUCUGAUUUAUUAGCUGUGUGAUCAUUUAACACUUUCAAAUUUGUUUCCUUAUCAGUUAAAUAAAGGUAAUAAUAGGGAUACUUUCUAGAACUGUUGGGCGAAGCAAGAAAAUAUGUAUCAAGUGAGAAUUGCAGUGCCAGGCACAGAGGAACUACUGAGUAUGUUAGCAAUUAUUACAAAGAAAAAUAAGGUUCAAAUAAUCUGCACUAAAAUCUUAUGCCAACCUAAGUUUAACCUAAUAAUUCUUAAGAACUUCAGAAAAAUCUGAAGACUGAGUCAGGAAUGCAGGAAAUACCGGAUGUGGGCUAUACUUCACAUCUUGGCUAAUUUAUUAUAUUCAGUUGUAGGUCCUGCAUUUCAAGAGGGACAUUAACAGGCUGGAGGAGGUCCAAAAGGGAACAAUUGGGCUGGUAAACAAACUUGAAAUUGACCUGUAAGGAAUAAUUAAAGACUCUGUGGGUGUUUGGCUCAGAGAAGACUUAGGCAGAAGGGAUUGGUCGGUUGGGCUGUUAGGAGAAGAGGGACCCAACUUAAUAAAAUAAUGAUUUGAGUAUUUUUAUUUUCCAGACAUCUAGCUUUGCAAAUAGUAUUUAUUUUUUCUUCUCCAAAACACUACACGAGGUACAUAUUUGUGUUCCUAUUGUACAGAUGAAGUAACAGGCACAGAGGCAGAAGUGACUUGACAGUUAAUGUGGUUAAUAGAUGGAAUGGUAGGAAUGGAGCCAGGUCUUUCUAAUUCUACAGUUUGAGUACCUUCUACAGCCCACUGACUUGUUCCAAGUGACCAGGGAAGGCCUGUCGGACUUUUAAAGAGCAAAGUGGCUGCCUGAUACAUGUGAGGAAAGAAUAUUUAGACCAUUAGAGCCACCCAAUAAUGGAAGAAGCUGCCUAAGUAGAUAAUGAGUUUCUUGUCACUGGAAGUAUUCAAGGAGAGGCUGAACUUCUGCUCAGUAGCAUGCUGUAAGGAUGACAGCUGAGGAGUGGGCUGGAACUGUGACUUUAUUACUUACUUGGAUGUUCUUGAAAGUUGCUUAACUUCUCUGAGCCUGUUUCUUCAUCUAUAAACUGAGAAUAUGGCCUAAUUUUAGAAGACUUACAAAAAAAUUAUAGAUAAAUUGUUUAGCCAAGAAGCUGGUAUACAGAAGUUGCUCUUUAUAUAUUAAGUGAAAAAUUAUCUAUAAUCUUUCUAUUUGUAUCUGUGGCUCUCAUUUAUUUGGUGACACUGCCUACUCACUUCUUCAUUGGGAAAAAUUUUAGACUUGGAAAGGUCACCUCCUGGGUGAGUAUUUUACUUCACUUCUGCAGUGGCAGGUACAUGCUAAUUUCUGUCCCCUUAGGCAAAUGACAGGUUGGACUUUAAAACAUGAGCAGUGGAAUAAACAAAAGGAAGAAUGUUUAGACUGAAAUGUUAAGCAAUAGAAUAGACAUUAUUGGGGGAAAGAUUAGAACCACACAGCUAAUAAACCAUGUCACCCUGUGGAUCAAAUAUCAGAUGGGUUCGAGGAGCCCACUAUAUGCCCAGCACUGUGCCAUGUGCAUUAGAGUUCAACCACUGGAGCACUGUCUUUGUCUACAAAGGUAGCAAGGCCUGGGAUGGCUCAGACAGUUGUGGAAAGAUUAGCUGAUAGGACUGAGUGUUAUUCUGUGCUAUAUCUUUUGGUUUGGAUUGCAGCCCCUGGACAAUUAGGGAAGGGAUGCUCAGAGGCAAGAGAUGGAGAAGAUGACCUUGCAAGGUCUCUUUCUUGCCUGGGAUUUUCUCCUUUUGAUGAUUCCCAGGAUUCUUUCUAGCAGGCACCAUGCUGUAAUGUUGCAGUUGUGGCUCCCUUGGGCACAUUCACUAGUCGUUUCCCCAGGACUUUCCCAGAGCCUGGGAAUAUACUAAUAAUUGUUGUCCUUUAUCUGACCUGGAGGAGGAAGAGGUAGAUGAGGAAAAGGAGGAAGAGGUGAGGAAGAGGAGGAAGGGCCGCCCUUCUGAGGGCUGUCUCAGCAGCCUUCCUUCCUGGGCUUUGACAACAAGGCAGCAUCCUGCCUCCUCCCAGGUAUCUACUCAGGCUCCUGUUCUGUAGACAUCAGUCUAGGCUCCUACCAACAUCAGCCAUGGGUCCCACCAGCAAGAAACAUGGAGUUAGUUGCAUGAAGAGAAAGCUUUUAUUGUUGGAAUUCGUGAUGUGACGAUCCUUCCUUUUCUUUCAACAAGAUAAGCAGAUUCCAACUGCUUUGGAAAAUGUCUUCCUUUCUCUCUCUUGUUUCCUCCUCCUGUCAUCAUUCCUCCUUAACCUUUGCUUCUUCCCUCCUGCAUUCUUUUUCCCUUCUGGUUUCUCUACCUUCUUCGUUUUCCUUCAUUUGUUUCUGAAUCCUGGGAUGAUGGAGUUGAGAGCGAUCUUAGACGUCCUCUAGUACAGUGUACUAAUUCAUUUUACAGAUGAGAAGAAUGCAUUUCCAAGAGAGAAAGAGAUUCACAGAAUGAGUCCUUGGUGGAACCCAGAGUAGACCUGAGUUGAGCGCUCUUCCCUCUUUAUUACUCUGCUUAUCUCCACAUUUCUCUCCCCUUUCUUGUUUUUUUUUUAAUUGUUCAUUUUGUAUCUUGCUCAAUACUCUUUCUUUUCUUUUGUUUCUUCUUAAUCCCAUAAUGUUAAAUGGAAAGAAAGUCAGGACUUUGGGUAGAAGAAUUGAAAGAGAAGUGUGUUGUCAAGUUCUUUCCAUCGUGGCUGUGAUUUGGGGUGAGCCCCUCAAUUUUCCUCCUCAGCGUCUCUAUCUACUUUCUCCAUCCUACCCUGCCACGUCUUUGGAGGGGUUUGUCCACUGUCUUUCUCCAUAUGAAGACUUUGAACUUGAAUUGCCAAGGUGCCCUAAAGGAGUCCUAGGUUGGUAAGGUCACUGCUUUAGUCCCUUCAUCUACAAACUGAGGAUGAUCAUCGUACUUUCCUCAUAAGGUUGCUAUAAAGAUGAAAUAGUUAAUACAUAUCAAGUUUUUUGAAAAGUUUCUGGCAUAUAGUAGGUUCUAAAUACACGUUAUUCAUAUUUGCUAGCAUUAUUAAUUAUAAAUAUUAUUAUUUAGAGGGAUUUCUGUCCUUAAGGAGAAGGGUUGAGAGUCACAGAUGUCAUUCUAAUAAAUAAGGAGAGAAAAGAAAAUUAUGAACAUAGCUCAGAUAGAGACUUGGCAAAUUACACAAAGAGUGACCUGAUCUCAGCUGUGCUCUGCCUCCUGAAUGUGUCCACUUUUUAACCAAAGGCACCAUCUUUUCUACAACUAUUUGAAUUCAAAUUGUAGCCCAUGUCCAUGACUUACCCUGAGAAGAAGCUGUUUGGAACUUAAGAGUAAAGUUAGGCCUUGCUCAGAACUGACCCAGUUUAAGAAGUCCUUCUGAUACUUUCCAUUUUCUCCCAGAUAGUGUUUAAGAUGUGACGACAGAGUGCUGUAUUCUCCAAACCAAAAUCACUUGCAUAUCAUAUCACGAGUUUUGCCCAAUUUAUGUACUGUUAUUUAAUUUAUUUUUAGUUUGAUUUUUAGUCUUAAAUGUUAUCAGUAUCAUAAUGGAAUUGGUAAGUUCUGGUCCCUAGUAAAAUAAAAUAAGAGAACAUUAUCCUGUACCAUUAUAGUGUAUCUUGUACACUGUUGGUGUAACUCUGAUUUGAUUUUAGGGAAAGCUGUCUUGGUGAUAAGAGACUUGGAAUUCUCAGUUCUUGUCUAGACUGGACAUUAAUUUACUGUUAACUUUGGACAAGUCCCUUUCCCUCUGGCCACAGUUCCUCCCUGGGAACUAAAGGAAUUGGGACAUAUAAUUCUUUCCAUCUCUAACUUUUUUUUUUUUGUCGUGAGUAUUUUAUGAAAUUGCACAGUGAAUUGUGUAGGGCUCCAGUCACCCUGAUGAGAGUAUGUACCAUCAAUCACGUUGUUCUGAGCACCUAAUUCUAUAAUAUAACUCUAGCCUUCCAUUUUCCAGCGACAUUUUGCUUCCAGCACAAUUACUUCUGUGGGAACAGCAACUUCCAUUUGUUCAGAAAAUUCUUCUAAAUACACCAAAUAGUUUCAGCCUCUAGGCUGGUUUUUACUUGGAGAAAGCACAAUCGACACGGCACUGGCUUGGGUGACUCCACAUGUCUUUCUUUCCUACCUGGUACAGGUUGCCUUUUGUUAGGUGGGCUCUAAGUUUGAUUGAAUGCCCAUGCUCUCUGGAAUCCUGUUUUAUUAAAAAAUAUAUUUUCCAGCUUUUCAAAAGUAAUAUAUAUUGUUGUAAAACAUUCAAGUAUUACAGGAAUAUUUAAUGCAGGAAAUAAAAGUUCCCCAUGGUCUCAUUCUCAAGAGAUAAUAACAACUAUAAGCAGUUUUCAGUCCAUUUCUGUAGAUUUCUUCCCCAUAAGAGAACAUUAAUACAUAUAAGAAAAUAAAAAUGGGAUCCUGCUAUACAGACGGUUUUGCUAUUUGCCUUCCCUUCUCUCUCCACUUCUCGUAAUCAUUCAUCCUGGCCAUUUUUGACUUUUCUGCAUGGAAUGAGGUUGCCUGCCCAUGAUACUAACUGGCUGUGUGACUUUGAAUGAAUCAUUUUUCCCCUCAGGGUUUCAGUUUCCUCAACUAGAAGAAGAAACAGUCCUCUCCAACCUGCCCAUCUCCUAUUAUAUAAGGCUUAAGGGAGAUAAUGGAGAUGUAUGAAAGUGUAGGUGUCCUGAGGGUGGAUUUGAUAGUAGACCGUUCUCUGUCACCCUCUCCUGCUUUAUUGGGUUUAGAGCACUUACUAGGUCCUGCAAUUCUAUAGUUUCCCAAUUUGUCUAUUUGUUUGUACCCCCCCACUAGUUAUUUGUUUGUACCCCCCACUAGAAGUUAAGAUGUGUUAGAGCAGGGACCAUGAAUCUUCUGUUCCUCAGUGUAUCUAUCCCCAGAACUUAGAACAACUCCUGGUUAUCGUAGGAAUUAAUAAAUAUUUUUUGGAUAAUGAACAAAUUAUCCUCUCUCAACUGGGCUUCUAAUUGAUAGAAAGCCCAUUGGGAAAGAAUAGGGUAGAGCAGAAAUGGGAUGAGCCAACUUAACAGGGUGGAUGCCUGGCCUACCCAGUGGCCUUGAGCUCAACAGCAUUCAGCUUGACUGUUCUGCAAGCCUUUUUCCUUUGUUUGCUUCACUCUCCUGAUACUCUUUGCCUACCUGGUAAAUUAGUCAUUCUUUAUGGCCCAGUUUAAUUAUCCUGAGUCCUGUGAAAUGUCUUCAAUUUAUACUGUUUCCCACCUCCAGACAGAGUUAACCAGGCUCUUUCGUAUGCUCCCGCAACACUUUGCACCUAUCUUACUUUAAUUAUAGUAAUAGUGGUUUUCCUGCUUUGUACAGUUGCUGUGUGCCAUAUGCAAUGCAAACUAUCUAUAUGCCUUCUCCCUUUUAAUAUGUAUGAUAAUCUGUCCGGAAGAGAUAAUUAUAAUUCCCAUUUAACAGAUGAGGAAAACUGAGACUUAGCAAUUUUAAAAAUAAUCUUGCUCCAAGGCAUACACAUAGCAAGUAGUGUAACUAGGAUUUUGGAAUAUGUAUAAUUGAUUCCCAAGCUAGAGUUUUUAACUACUGGGCCUUCAAUAUGCCAACUUAAAUUAAGAAUUAGAUAAUGACAACUGGAAAGACCCAUAGUCUUUACAUAGUUCCAUCUCGUUUUAGGCAUGGAAAAGCUGAGACUAGUUACAAAGUUAGAGCAGAAUUUGCAGCGGAAGGAAAAUCUUGCUGUAAUAUCUAGGCUGUCCAAUUUUGGGCAGCAUGAGGCAUUACAUUUUUUACUAGGCCGUAUCACCUCCUUUUUUCAGUAGGCAUAGCUUUUUACAUUCCAAGACAUAUUCAAUACAUUUAUUCAAGGCACCCUCUCUCUAGGCAUGAUGCAGUCUUUUACUUGGCUCCUGUGAAGACUGUUUUUCUUUUCUUCUUUCCUACUAGAUGUUUUAGGUCACAUUGAGGAAACUACCUUUAACUGAGGUAAGUCCAUACUUUCUUCAUGUUUAAAAUUAUUUUAGAAAUGUUUCCUUGUCUUGUGGAAGGGGCUUCUCCACAGGACCUGGUGAUGGUGAAGAGCAGCCUUGUUUAUAAUGGCUCAGAUGUUUCGAGAGGCCCAGAGUUUGGACAUGCCCUGUCAGAGAGCAAGGGUAAGGUUGAGCAAGCAACUCACUGCAACAGCUACGGAGCCAGAGCUGCGCCGCCAUAUCUAGCUCACACUCUCACUGUGACUCAUUUCUUGGAGCAGAAAGGGGUCAUGGUGAGAUACAGCAGUGCUUUAGGGUUGGUUGUUUGGAAUCUUUCAGGUCCUGGGCUUCUGCAGAGCCAAUAGAAGGAGGAUGGGAACAGACACGUGGGGACAAAGCAAUUUGAUUUAACAAACACUGAGUGUCUGAUAUACAUGAACCCCUGGGAUGACAUUAUCUAUGAAGGGGUAGUGGAGUUAGCUGAAAACUCUGGAAAGCACCAAGGGAUGUUUUCCUCUUCUUCUUGUUUGCUUUUCAUAUGCAUCAAGAAAUUCAUUAAGCGCUAAUCUUUGAGGGGCUUACAAUCCAACAGGAAAGCUAGAAGGGCACCCAAAUGUAUGUAAGGUCACUUUAAACAAACUGAGUGCUAAGGAUAAUGCCUAUAUUUCCAAGAGGAUUUAGGAAGGAGAGUCCAUGCCCAGUUGGGGCUAGGCAUAGAUGCAAUCCAGGGACAAUUCAUGGAGGAAAUGACGCCAGACAUGGGUCUUAAGGCAUGGAUAGCAUCUCAGAGAGGAGAGGAAAUUACCAUUUGUUAAGGGAUUGUGCUCUGAUAGGAAAAUGUGUUUGAAGUGGGGCUUCGUGUAUCUAUCAGUGAAGUUGUUAUUCUCAGUUUUUAAGAUGAGGAACUUGAGGCUCAGGAAGAUUGAGCAAACUGCCAAGACCAUACAGCAAGGAAGUAACAUAGGCAGGAUUCAAAAUCAGAUGAGUUUGAACCUAGAGCUGGUUGGUGUAUCUUUUAAGGCAGAGUGAGGGGGGAGCUUUACCAGAUUUAUGGAGAGUAUAGGGCACAACAUGAGUUACAAUACAGAGAUGAGACUUAUGGAUGUGCUGCUUAUGAACAAUGAGAAAUCCAUUUUGGGUUGGAAUUCAGUUUGUGUGAAAUAAAGGAGUUGGAAAUAGCAGUGGGUGCUGUGUGCGGCAAGCUGAGAGUUUCAUAUUAUAUUAAAACCUGGCAUUUUCAAGAGAAGGGCAGCACAACUGCAAAAAUGCAUGAGGUAGAUCCAUAUGCACACUGACAAGGUAUUCCUGAGUGAUAAAAGAGAAGUUGCCAAACAUGGUGUUUAGGAUAAUCCCAUUUUUUUGUAAAACAGAAGCAGCUUACUACAGUAGCACAGCAGCUAAGGGAUGUCUGAAGCCACACUUCGUGGAUUCCAAUCCCACACUGACACUUCCAAGCUGGGUGAUCCUAGGAAAAUGAUUUAACCUCAUCUGUACAAUGAAAUGAAUAAUAGUAUAUGAUUUAUAGGAUUGUUCUGAAGGUUACAUGGGUUAAGUUCUAUCCAGCUCUUAGAAAGGUGUCAGGCACAUAGGAAGCACUCAUGUUUUUGUUAUUGUUAUGUUAUUAAAACCAUUUAGGAGGAUGAAUAUCAAGCUGUUAAGUGAUUUAUCCUAGGAAGUAAGAUUUACGUGUAUUUUAGUUUCAAACAUAUCUCCUUAUGCUGUUUAAUAUUUUAUAACAAAUACAUUUUAUAGUGUAAAAAACAAAAUAAAGGAAAACAAAAUGACAAACCAGCAGGUCUAUUUUAAGAGUUGGUAGUAAGAGACUUUAUUUCUACUGUAUUCUUUUUCUCUAGUAGCAAUAAGGCUGGUAGGGACACAUUAGAAAAUGUCUCUGGUGUCACCCAGAGAGCUAUUGAAAACAGAUGUCUGAGACUGCAUUGCCUGGGUUUCCCACAAGCCAUGUCAGGAGUGAUGCCAAUGGCUAUUAUAGAGGGCUGGCCCUUUCUGCUCCCCCUGCCUCGUCUGGGCUGGAUGUGGUUUUCUGGCUUAAAGAUGUUAUGAAAAGCCUGCUUUGAAGGUCUGCUUUGGGAGUGAUACAUCUGGGGCAUGUGGUGAGACCUUUAGUGCAUGAGGCUGAGCACAUACAGAAGAAAAGGGAGACUGGGGAAAGUCCUCUCUGUCUGGGGGUUAGAGAACACAGCUAAAAAUGUCUUUGGUCUGAGUAAAAGGGACCAAGAUUUUAAAACAUUCUUUUCCUGGGCCAGAGACUAUGCUGCCCUUCUUCUUGACCUCCUGACUCAGUCAGAAAUUCUCCCCCACCAUCCUGGCUAGCUUUCUCAAUGAAAUGAUCUUGGUCACAAGGCAGGUGGGACAAAGGAGAAAGGACCUUCAGUGGCUGACCAUCUCUGCCCCUUGACAGAGCUCUAACCACACACCUUAUGAUGGGGGUGGGAGCUAGUGCAAUUUCUCUUGUGUGUCAAGGAUAGAGAUUGAAAGCUUGUAUCUACUUACAGAUGCAUGUUAAUAACUUUUUAACUAUCCAGAACCACCUGCAAGAGAUUAGCUCUUGAUUUUCUAGAGAGGCAAAUUCAUAUCUUUCAUUUCUCUCAUCCAGUCUAGUCUCCUCCUUCCUCCUCCCUGGUUCUUUCUUAGAGUAAUAGUGGCAGGGUAAUGGUGAAAGGAGUGUUUUCUACCGUCACGCCCAAUUUUGAAUCCUAGCUCUGCCUUUUACUAGUUAUCUUACCUUUGGCAAGUUACAUAACCUGUUUAUGUAUCAGUCUUGUCUCCUGUAAAAUGGGGAUAGAAUAGUAUUUUUAUAAUAGAAAGUAAUAGUAUUUUUUGAGAAUUAUGAGAUAGGGUAUAUGAUGUUAUUAGCUUAGUCUCUAGCAUUCGAUAAACACUCGGUAAAUGCUAAUGAUUAUUUUUAAUGAGUUAUUGCAGUUGGGGCUGAGAUGGGGCAUCAUGAGGGAAGGCAGAAGGGAAGGUUCAGGAAGAAAGGAAUAUCUGUUUGCAGUUAUCUGUUAACAUAUAAGAUGCAUUUUCUCUGUACCCCAGCAAUUUCAUUCCUAGUUCUUAUUAUGUACCUGGAGAAAUACCACAUGUGUUCAUAAAGUUGUAGGUACACUGUAAUUAUUGCAGCACUGAUUGCAGUGGGAAGAUUAGAAAAAGUAUAAGUGUCCAUCAAUAAGGGAUGGCUAGAAAACAACGGGACAUCCAUAACAUAAAAUGCUCUGCGGUGGUUAAAAGAAUGAAGUAGAACUGUAUGCUUCAACAUGUAAGGCUUCCCAAGACAUGUUAAUAUGUGAACAAAACAAACUGCAAAUUGUAUAGAAAAUAUGAUUCCUUGAAAUGAUUGUAUAUUUCAAUGGUUAUAUACAUGUGUGUACAUAAUGUAUAUAUAAUAUAUAUGAAUAAAAAAUUAUCAGAAAAGAUAACAGUUGAAAGAGACCUAGAGGUCAUUAUCAAAGGGGACCUCAGGCUUUGGUGUAGUAUUAUAAUUUCUUAAAAAGGUAAUGUAUGCAUGCAUUGUACAAUUAAACAUGAUCAAGGCAGAGAAAUAAAUGCCUAUCUGGCCAAGAGUAGGAAGAAUAAGGCUCUGUCAAACCAAAGGCCAAUGAAAAAUUUCCAGCUCUUUUUUCUAGGCUUCUUUCCACCCCUGUUAUCCACUGGUAGAAGGAGAGGGUUAUUAGACUGACAGCUGUACCAGCUCAAAGGGGCUACAUAAAUGUAUCUCUGUCUAACUGUCUAUCUCUGUAUAUCGGUAUGGUGAGUGAGGCGCAAGGAGAUAUGUGUUUGAAUCCUGGUUUUACUCUGAGAAUCACAGCAUGGUUACCUGCUGUUAGCAAAAGGCAAACCACCUGUUUUCUUUAAGCCUCAGUUUUCUCAGCUCUAAAAUGGGGUUACUAACCAUUGUUCUGUAUCUAAUUUUUAAGGUGAUUGGGCAGCUUAUAUGAGAUCGUGGAUAUAAAACAUGCUAUAACCUGUGAAGUGCUUUUUAUAAGACAGUACUGCAAAUCUGCCUGGCAGCCAGGGUUGCAGCAGCCUUGCCGCAUUCCUCUGGAGCUGGCGAAUGUUGCAGAACUGAGCACACAGCAAUAAACACGCAGCUCUCAAAAGGCUGAAGAUCAUAGUAGUUACUCUAUUUGGUAUAUAAAAUACUAACAUGAUUUGCAGAAAGGCUGACAGGUUAAAGGGAUAGAGAAAAAUGAAGAUCAUGGUCCUAAGGUCAGACAGGUGGUGGAAUGUGGCAGUGGUCUGUGAACAUCUGGGAGUCCUAAGCAAGCCUCUAGCUUUACAAAGUUGAGAGUACAAAAGUUGAGAGUACAGUGUACACAGGAAGACUAGUAAGUGCGAUCAUCUUUGGAGAAAGAAACCACAUACCCUCUCCUUCUGACCAUCUUGAUUCACCUCCUGUAUCAAUCCUGACAGACUCAUUGCUGUGUCCCAGGGCCAGGAUUUAAAACUCAUUGCCCGGGUGCCCCUUCUCUUUAUCUAGUGUCACAUAGAGUUCCCAGCAGUGUGAAUGAGAGCUUUUGGUGCACCAGGACUUCAGAGACCAGGCCACCAGUUUGGGGAUAGCUCCCUGAGAAACCCUCUAGAAGGGUGAAUGUGUUUAUGAGAAAGGACAGAGUGUGAGGACUGAAGGAAAGAAAGUGCAGUGGCAGAGGUAGGGUGUAUGGACUCUGUAGAAGACAUGUAGGGGAGUAAGUUUGGAGAUUACGUAUGGCUUUGGGAGCUUACCCACUCUAUAAACUUGAGGCAGUUAUUUAUCCCCUCCACAUCUGCAAAAUAAAAGGGUUGAUCUAUGUCAGGGGUUCUCUGUCAGAAUGAUCUAGAGCCUUGCUGUGCAAACCUUUGAUCCAUGGAAGCAGCAGCAUCAAUCUUCUAGAUGCUUUAGAAAUGCAGACACUCAGGCCUAUCCCAGAACUCCUGAGCCAGAAUCUGCAUCUUAGGAGAUCCUCAGGUGAUCCUGGACACUGAAGUUUGAAAAGCACUGAAUUAGAGACUCUUGUUGACAUUAUGGGUUUCUGGGUCCGCAUUCUGAGAGAUUCUGUUUCAGUAGUUUGAUUUUGAGAAGCUGUAUUUUAUUUAAUUUAAUUUUUAAAACCACUUUAUUGAGGUGUGAUUGACAUAAAAAAGUUGUGCAUAUUUAGGACUUGAUGAGUUUAGAGACAAGUAUAUGCUCAUGAAACCAUCACCAUAAUCUAUGCCAUAAACCUAUCCAUCACCCCCAAAGGUUUCUUCUUGCUCUUUUAUAUGUUUAUUAUUAUUGUUGUUGUUAUUUGCAGUAAGAAUACUUACUAUGAGAUCUGUCCUCUUAACAAAUGUUUGAGAAUCUGUCUUUUUGACAAGCACCUCACAGCUAACUUUGACAGCCGUUGAAUUCUAAAGCUAAGAGUCCUUCCUACCCCAAGAUUCCAUGAUUCUGCUGAUACUCAAGACACUCUGAAGGAAAGCACGAAUCUCUGAGGGUGAACGGUUGGAAGAGCUGGGAAUGUACUUGUGAGAAAGGAAGCAGAGGCUUGUUCUCCAUGUGCCUGUGGGUUGCCCAGAAUAUGAGGCAAGAGAGCAUGCUGCCCAGAGCUGCUGCCCAUUUCACGGCUGGGAUUAAUGAUUGUCGGCAGCUCCGUUAAGACGGUAAACUAAUUUAGCAAUGGACACUGAAAACCAGCCCAAUUCAAACGCAGAGAGUGGUAAUCUAAUUGCACUGAAUUAGCCUCAGGAGGCUUGGACAAUAUCCACUUCAGAAAACCACAAAGGGAUCCUUUGAAAGGAGUUUCAAAAGCUUUGGUGCCUCAGUACUCCUCAUAAGAGCUUGCAUUACAAAACAUAGGCACUGUGUGGAUAAGCCCCUCUCCCCAGCAUCUCUGGGCAUUGUUCCCUUCUAAUGUGCUUUCUGAAUGAAUUUGCUGGCUGGCUGUAUGGCGUUUUCAUUUUGUGUGUUAGGCUUUACGGGGAGUUGGUUCAGGGAGACAGCUGGAGUUCAAGGCUGAGAGGCCAUCAGUCCUGUGAACACCAUUGGUGCCUGUGGCCUUGUCCGUUGGCAAGUGCACUUUCUGGUAGUUUUUUUCUGGCUUAUUCUGAGGCUCUUCUCAUUUCUUAAAACCAGGCUUUUACAUAACCAAGGUGAUUUCCUUUCAAUAAUUCUUUGUUGCAUGGUGUUUGUAUGUUCUUUGUCCAAUUUAUUAAUUAUCCAAUCCAAUUUUAAGGAGAAACAUAUCCCCGUUAGUGGGUAUUCAUGUCAUGAUUCGAAGAGCUUACAAAGAUUAGAUGGCAAUUUGGGAAUCAGGAAAGGAGGGAAUAUAGAAUUACGAAGGAUUGUCUCUGACUUGCAUUUCAUUCACUCUUCUGCAGCAAAUUACAAAUCUCAAUUUGCAAAAGAAGCUUGAAUUCCUUCUAUGUCUUUCCUAGGAGGUGGACGUCCAGGCUCUUCUUGCACACUUCCACUGACAGAUACCAUCACUACCACUGAGGCAGCCCACAGUACCAUUUGAAAGAGCUACCAGAAAGUUCUGAUUUAUAUUUAGUCCGAAUUUGUAUGUGUGCUUUCAAAAAAAAAUCUGUGAAUUUACUCUGAUUUUUCUCUUGGAGCUACAUAGAAUAAAUCAAAUCUAAUGUUUCCCAAUAUGGGGUCCCUGGGUACAUAGGAGAUUCAUGAAAUAGUAAUGAGGACUCAGAGUGCAUUUUAAACAUUUCAAAGGCUCUAACAAAUUGCAUAUUUACUUCUGACAAGGCUCUCUGGAUUAACUAAAAAUAAUCACAGAUCUUUACUUUUGUUUUUUCUUAGGUCAACUCAGUGUGGCGACAUUGCUUAUCCCAUGGUAUUUAGUAUUUCUGGCAGUUACAUAUGCCUUUGAUUAAUAAAGAUGGGAAAAAUAUAUUAAUGAUGAAUGGUAUCUGGUAAACAAAUUUUUUUUUGAAAAAACAAAAACAAAAACAAAAAACAUAGACUUUGUGAGGGGAAAAAGAGCCAAACAGAAUCAUUGAUAAAAAGUACAGAAAUGUUUGGUCUCUCUUUCUCACACCAUUUUUCAGAUCUGUGAGUAUAGCGAUCAGGCCUCAUGUUUUCUCAUCACAAUAAACAUUUCCCGCGGAAACUGACAUAUGUAUAGGAUCUGUCAAUAAUCGUGUCUGGGUCAGGAUAAUUCUCCAAAAAGUGAAUUGCUUAGUGAGGUCCUCAAUUCUUUCAGACCUUUGAGCCUGACUAUACCUUGAUGUGGCUAUUUCUUAUAAUAGCUGAAAUAUACUGCAAUAGCUGUAACGAAAGCUGUGCUAUCAUGGAAGAGAUCGGGAGAAGAUAUCCUAAACUGGCAUGGCUAAAAGUGAUUUUAGAACGUGAUUGGCCGAAUCUCUUCAUUUUACAGCUGAGGAAACUGAGAGCCAGAAAGGUCUUAGAACCCUCUCAAGGUCAUGCCACUAGCUACAUUCUGGAUCCUAGGUCUCCUUCCCUUUAGGCCAAAGCCUCUUUGUUUAACGCAAACCUGCAGAAUAGUUUCAAGAUGGCCAGGCAGGGAGACAGUGCCAUCCAUCUUAAAAAUCAUGCUGGCUUCUGCCAGCUGAUGAAGGAAAUAAAGUUAAUGACGCCCACAUAAAUGUGAUGCUGUCGCAGGACGCACGCACAGGCUGCCUGGAGGGGAGCUCUGUGGGUCCUCUGAAGAAUGAAAAAAUGGUUUUAAUGUACCUUUAAAGGGAGCAGUGUCUCCCCUUUCUGCAAGGACAGGGACUGUGGCAUCUGUCCCUGCAGAGUGCUUAGUUUUAGACUGAACACAUAAGCGCAUGAUAAACAAGUUCCUAGUGAAGAAAUGAAGGCAGCGUCACCACCUGUCAAUUCGUCCUGAAGCUUUGUGGGUAUGGACCCCUGCCUUUGAUAAAGAUCUUAUCAGGGGCUGGAGAGAGCGUAGAAGUGUCAGAUUCAGUCAUUUGAGUUGAUUGGUAAGAAAAUUGAGUCCGCAUUAGAGGUAGAGACUUGUUAUGCCCAUGCUGUGGGAUGGAAGCAGAGCUGACUCUAGAGGCAGGAGUUCUCAAUUUAUAGCCCAACUUCUCUUUCCACUGCACCAUGGACAUGGCCAUAACCUCUUUCAUAAGGCAAUCUAAAGAAAACAAUUUCCUAAAUAUCCUCUGCUUAGGUCAUUACCAGUUUGGCAAAUAUACAGAAGUCAUGUGCUGAUUCAUAACUCCAUUUACCAGCCUAGGGUCCCUGUCCCACCUGUCCUUCAGGAGCAAAAUCACAACAUUUUCUUUUCUGUUUUUUAAGGUUCCUAAGCCCAUAAAGGGAGUAGACUAAUUGGCAAUUCGAUGCUUAUACAAACUUGCCCAAGGGACUUCAUUCGUUGGGGAAAAGUCCUUGGGCCAUGUCAGAAACUCCUAGACAAGUUCUGCAGUGCCAAAAUGCAGCAGGUAAGAUUCAAGGUAGAGUACAGCUGUCUUUCCAGAAGGGAAAAAUCAAGACAGUCAUCUGCCCUUCUUGACAAGCCUGGAGAUGGAGAAGCCACAGGGGCUACCUCAAGGAAAAACCCAUUCACCUUUCAACUGGGUAGGUUUUUUCUUUAGGACUGAGAUAUGAAACAAUGUAUUUGUCAUUUUUCUUUUGAUCCUAAUGUGGAUAGAAACAUUUUCCCUUCAAGGUUUUGAUGACCUUUGUUAGCAGCUGAGUGGCAUAUUCAGUAUAAAAUCCAGUGCAAGGAAGCACCUACUGGGAUGGAAGAGGGAAGUAGCACAUUAAAGAAAAGUUGCUCAUCUUUUGGGAAAACCACCCAGGAAUUAGAUCUGGUUCAUCUCCCUGCCUUUAUUCCCUUCUCAAGCACAUGCUAGGUCCCUUUUUGUUUCAUCAGGGUGCUUUGUGUAUUUCAUGGGGGACAUUUUCUCAAGGAAGCUAGACUUUCCUCCCCAUUAUAAUUAGUACAUUGGAGCAGCUGAUUAAAAAUUUGGUCAUUCUGUACUGUGGUUUGAAACCUUGGACAAUUUUUUCUCCCCUCUGCCCAGGAUGUAUAUUUGGCAGUGUCUGGAGACAUUUUUUGAUGGUCAUGACUAUCAAAAGGAGGUAGUGCUACUAGCAGCAGGGAUGCUGCUAAACAUCCCACAAUGCCCAGGACAACUUCCAUAACAAAUAAUUAUCCAGUUCAAAGUGCCAGUAGUGCAGAGCUUGAGAAACAUGGGUCUGUUUGAGUUGCUCAGAAGGCAAGAGAAUUUUGGGGCCAUACUGGGCCUACCCCAGCCAUAAGCCUCUGUAAGGGCUCUGGGGAUCAAAGCCAAGUUCCCUUUGGCUUGAAAGGACAUUUGAAAGAAAUGUGCUUCUACCAUUAAAAAAUUUUGCCUGUUAUUUUUGACCAGUCUGGAUAUACAGCCCCAUUCUCAACUGAAAAUAAGGGAAAAUAUUUAGGUUAUUGACUCUCAGAAUGCCAAUUACAGAAUUUUAGAAUCAUAGGUUUAAAAAAUAUCAGAUCAGGAACUACAGCCAAAUCGCCCGAUCUUACUUAUGAAGACACAGUUGAUGAGCAUGCAAUGUUUUUUGUCUUCCAGGACCCCAUGUCUUCCUUUCUAAGACCUUAGUUCCUCCUCUGUGUUGGUACCAUGUGGGAUUUCUGCCUCACUCACUUGAUUUUUGUUUUUGUUUUUUUUUGUUUUGCUGUUGUUAUUGCCGUUUCGCUGAUUAUGUGCUGAUGCAGCAUGUCUAUUAUUGAGAGCCUUUCCUAGCCCCCGAUUUCCCCAACAAGGUGAGCAGCUGGCAUCACUUAUUCUAAGGAGUACCUGAGAGCCUGAGAUGAUUGGAUUGGCCAUUCCAACACACCACCUAUCCCCUGGGGAAGAAGGGGUUAUUCAAAUGGAACCUGCUAGAGAGCUGCCAGCCUCCAUUUACCCCCACAUACAUUCUAUUCUUCAUUUUUGACUUUUGACAAUUUCACUCCAAUGUACCUCAGAGAGAAUCAUUUUGGGUUGAAUCUGUUUGGAGUUCUUUGAGCUUCCUGGAUCUCGAUGUCUAUCUCUCUCCCAAGACUUGACCCAUCUUGCUCCCCCAAACCCACCAUCCAAGCUUCAGCAACAUCAGUCCAACUAGGAGAAAACUUCAGUGUGACCUGCGUGGUUCUGGGUGAGCCAGAGAUUGCUGUGGACUUUAGCUGGGGAUAUCCAGGGCAGAAGAGUAACCCAGCUGAGCAAGAAAAGUGAUGAUUCUUGCUUUCAAGUUAUGAUGCAUUCCAUGAGACUGAAUCUGAAAAGAGAUUGUGGUAAAGUGAAGUCCUGACCUGCCAUGUGCUGAGUGUUCCUAGCCUGGUUCCAAGCACCACUCUGGAUGUACAGGGAUAGAUGCUCAACAGGUAUUUGGUGAAUUUGAUGUGCAACACAUGUUUGGUAAAUAAAAUUUUCAUAUAUCAUUUGCUUUUGCCUGUUUUGACACUGAAGAAACUUUGGAAAAAUAAAGCUGAUUUGGGAAAGGUAGAGAGAACUGGAAGUGUCUCUAGACAGACUGUUAAAGAUACAGACCAGAAAGAAAUGGGAAGUGGCAAAACUGGGGACUGCCUUUUCCUAUUGCAUUCACAUCAUGCUCAUUCUGACUCUAGUUUCCAGGGAAGGAGGGAAGAGAGCAAACAUAGAAUACCUUUGCAGUGUUUCUCGGCUUGCAUUAUGCCAGGCAUUGGGCUGGGUGCUUUACAAACACCCUUGAUGUAAUUCUCUUAACUUAGGUAGAUGCUAUUAUGCCUACUUUAUAGGUUAGGGAAAAGUAAUUCAUUUGUCCAAAGUCACACAGCUAAUAAAUCUUGAGGCCUGGACUGAAAGCAAAUCUUUUCCAAACCCAUUUUAUUUUUAAAAUUUAUACCUAACUGGAUUGUGGGUAUCACUUCUGUUUCAGGAGCAAGGCAUGAGAAGCUCUAUCUUUGCAAAUAAUUUACUUUGGAUAAAGCUAUUUCUUUUGUAGAAGCAUGACAUGUCAUCUGAACUUUAAAAACUAUUUUUGUGUGUCCCUUAGAAAUUCUCGUGAGAUUUCCAUCAUACAGCCUUUAGAUAGUGUGAUCGUCACAAUUACAUGGUGGACCCUUAGGACCCUUAGGUGACUUAAAAGAAAAGCUUUACUGAGGUAUAAUUUACUUAUUAUAAAAUUCAUCCACUUUAAGUAUGAAAUUCAAUGAUUAUUAUUAUAUUGCAGAAUUAUGCAACUGUCACCUAAGUUGAAUUCCUUUGGUAACUUAGUUUGUACACCGAAACGGAUCAAUUAUCCAAGAGGAUAAGAUAAAUCAUUGCAGAUAUAAGGAACGACAUGAGUAAAGGUGUCAGGAUGGGCACACAGAGAUCAUAUGAAGAGGAAUGGAUAGUCCUAUUUGGCUGGGUAUAAAAUGAGUAAAAAGAUAGAAAUAAAUAAUACCAGGGCAGGUUAAUAACAAUGAACAGAUCAUUUCCAGAGAGCUAGUUUGGUAGGAAGAAGGCACGGACUAUUUGUUGUCCAAGGCAAAACUGGUGGAGAAAGAAAGGAGGGAGGGUUAGUGACAGUUCCUCUGCUUUUCUCUGUACUGUAGAGGGGACCCCGGUGGGGCCUCCAGGCCAGCUGGAUGACAGCCAGUAUGCCGAAUGAUGGAUUUGCCAGAUGAGUGAGUCAUUAAUUCCCUGAGGAUAUGUUAUCUUGGCUUGCUCGUGGCUUUAUCUGUGAAUGAAUGGGCUUUGUCUGACCAGAACUUUAUUGUCUCUUAAUUUUGUCACAUAUGGCCCAUUCCUGCUGUUUAUCUUCUGCCCCUUGUCUUCACCCUGUUUGUUCCCCUCUAUCUCCUCCUGCCUCUGUCCUGGAGGUAAAAUGGCAGUGGGCAAUUCUCCUAGAGUGAAUUUGGGUAUUUGUCUGACAGUUUUAUGUGAACAAUCCUUUGCUGAAUUGAUUUUCACUGUACUAGCUUCUGCCUAUCAGCUUUCGAGCCCAGACAGUUGGCUUUGAUAGAUACUUUGCCACUCCAUGAUUUCUGCAUUGGCCUUUUGGUGCUUCCUUUUUUCCCUGCAUAUAAGGACAAAGGCCACAGCCAUCCUCAGCAGGUCACGAGCUUCAAGAAGGAAGAAUUGUAAUAGCAAUUGUGAACUUCUUAGGCUUCCUCCAAAGGAAAGGGUGAGGUAAAUGGAAGGCAUUGUACAGUUAUUAUGUGAUACCACAUAUAUUAGUUUUUCUCUCCAAAUCAUUGCCUAGGGCUCUGUUUUGAAAUUGGUUUUUACCCUCCUUGCUCUUAUUGCAGCCUUCGAUGCUCCCAUUCCAUAUUUAACUUUUCUGCAAUUCAGCACCUGCUCUGUUAGCACACUUCCCUUCCAGGCUUUUAGCGUGAGGCACCUGCAUUUAGAACAGCCUAAGCUGUGGGGGAUCAGGGUGCACUCACAGCCCAAACUUCUAGAACUUCCUCUCAUUCCAAGGAGGGUGAGGGCCAAGGAACCUGGACCCCAGAAACACUGCUCCCCCUGCCUUAUUUAGUGUAGUGAUUGAGAGUAUGAAUUCUGGCUUGAGCCAUAGCUCUGCCACUUACCUGCUGUGUGACCUCAGGCAAUACCUUAAACUCUCUGUGCCUUAGUUCCCUUAUGUGUAAAAUGAAAGCCACAAUAGCACCCACCUCAUAGGGUUGUGAGAAAAACUAAAUGAGUUAACCUACGUAAAGCACUCAGAGCAAUGUCUGGCAUAUUAUAAGUGCCAUGAAAGUAUUAGUAACGUUGAUUUUCUUAGCUAUUAAUUCUUAUUUCCUUUUAAGCAUAUUGGGAUGGCGUCAGGAGGCCUGGAUUGUGUUCCAGGCACAGUUGUUAAGUUGCCGUGUGACUCAGAGAUGUCAUUUCUCCAGAAUUUGGCUUCCUCUUCAAUUAAAUGAGACUUACAGUCUCAGGCCCCUCCCUGCUCAUUGCCCAGAGUUGCUCUGAGGAUAAAAUGACAUAGCAGACAUAAACAGGCUUUGUAAAUAUGAGAGAGCUGCCUGCAGAAAUGGUGGUGAGAUGUUCCAUGUUCUGUGGAGGGAUGACCUUGUGAAGGUAUUUCUUGGAAGAGGUGGCUUGGUCUCAGGGAACAAGAGUCCUCCUUGGAAACAGUGAGAUCCUGAUUAUUCUCAGCCCUUAUUGGCUUAGCAUUGUUUUGAGAUGUCUUCUUUCUGGGGUCUCCUAGGAGAACAGUGGUGGUAUUACCUCUCAGCAUCAGCAUUCUUAGUUGUAAACAACAGAAAUCAGUGCUUGUUAAUUUAAGCAGUAAAGUAGCAAAGGAGUUUAUUAGAUGGAGUUGGGUAGCUCACAGAGUGUCCUGGAGCACCAGAGAACCAGGAGGCUGUGGAUCAGUGGCCAAAGUCACACAGCAGAACUGGUCCAGAAGGGACGCCAUGGUAGCACUGCUGGGCACAGGCUCUGCAACUUAUACUCACAUAAGAUAAGAGUGUUGUAGGGGGCACCCAAAACUGGAAUUCAUCAUGGUCCAGCAAUCUCUUAGCACAGCUACCCUCUGUGGGGAGGCUUGAUUCUCCACCACCCCUGACUAGCUUUUCUUUUGGGUGGGAAACAGGACCACAUAGAGCUUUGCAUCUAUCUCUUUUAAGUUCCACCACCAGAGGAAAGGACCACUUUCUUUUGGUUCCCAUUCAAGGAAGGCAACCCAGAAGACAAAAGGAUUGUCUCUGCUUGGCUGAGCUUUGGGCUAUUGCCCAUUCUUGGACCAAUCAGUACAGAGCUUGGUGGUGAAAUGUCAGGAUUGGCCCAGCUUGCUGCCACCGGAAGUUUAGCGCCCUGGGUGGAAGGAUGCCGUUGGAAUGGUGCAGAGGAGGAUAGAUUUCUCAGAGGUGGGGAUGGGAGAUGGGAAGGGCUGAUCUCGGUGGUACUUUCACCAUCAGGCGCUACAGGGGGUUUUACAGACUGCCUUUUAGUGUUUGUUUGUUUACGCUAUGCGUAACAAACGCAUGGACCAGGCCUUCAUAAUUCCAUGGUAGCAUUAUCUCCCUGUCUCCACAGGGCUGUUUGAUCACAUCUCUCCUUGUAUAAAAAAACCUUCAUUACUUUCAAACUAGAGUCCACACUCCUUAUUAUAAACACUAAAGAUUUAACCCCUUUCUUUUUUAAAAAUUUGUUUUUUAGUAAUAUAUUUCAAGCAUAAAGAAUAAUGACAUGAGUACAUAUGUACCCCCAAAGUAGCUUUAACAGAUUUAACAUUUUGCUGUAUUUGUUUAAUGCUUUUUAAAUAAACAGUAAUGGAUUACAAAUAGAUUCAAAUCACUCUGGGGACCUCUUCUCAAUUUCAUUCCCUCUUUUUCUUCCUUGGAGUUCAUCACCAUCCUAAAUGUAGGUUAUCAUUGUCAUGUAUGCCUUUAUGAAUUUUCUGCAUGUUCAAGUCUCUACUCAAUGCGUAGUAUUGCUUUGCAUGUUGGUAAACUUUAUAGAAAUACUGCCCUAGUCUACAUAUCCUUUUGCAGUCUCCCUUUUGCAUUGAACAUUAUUUUUGAGAUUUAUUCACACUGGUAUGUAUAGAUCUAGUAUAUAUUCAUUUUAUCUGCUAUAUAGUGUUUUAUUCAUCUGUCUCUGAUUGAUGUGUUUCUCUUUUUCUUUUUUUCCACCAUAAGCCCUGCUGCAGUGAGCAUUCUUGUGUAAACCUUGGGGAGUAUACCCAAGAGUGGAAUCACAUCAGGGGGAAGGACAGGCAAAACAAAGUCAUAGCCCAACAACUUCCUCACCAUGCAGAGCUAGCAGGUGAUUAAGCCCAGGAAAUCCCCGGCAGGGCCGAUCAAACAGGAUUUAGCGGCUUGUGAAAUGGGACUUUAUUUCUUUAGAUAAUCCCUUGUGGGGGAGGGGGAGGGAGAUCUGAGAUCUGACUUCAGCAUGAUCUGGAGGUAAGCGAGCCCAGACUACUUAAAAUAUUUGCUGAUCACAGAGAUGGGCCUUUUGAGUGACAAGAGAAUGGUAGAGUGUACCUUCACUCCCCUUUCUCUCAUGCCACAAAUGGCAUUUACUCUGCUUUGGAAAAAUGCAGGGGUAAGAAAAGGCAUAGAGUUUGGAGUCAGAGAGAGCCAAGUUUGUGUCUCUGUAUCUGCCAUUUACCAGUUAUGUGACCAUGUUAAUUACUUAUAUACUCUGAACCUCAAUUUUCUUACCAGUGAAAUGAAUCCCACUGAUGUCCUCUGCUUUUAGCCUCAGUGUAGCCACUGCCCUGAGUUGUCUGGAUUGGGCUGUAGCCAGAAACCUCAGGUCCACCAUGCCAUGGUUCCUUGAGUCAAGUCCUGUUGGCCGUAGAACUUCAGGUGAGCUCUGAACAUUGAUGUUUCCUCUUCACCCAGGAUGUACUGCAUCUGCAAAGCACUCUGACUGCCUGCUAGGGCCUGAGCCUGUCUUGGAACUCUCUAUGCAUGACUAUAAACCCAGCUAAUACUUACCAGGCCUCUUCUUGGUGGGACUUGACCCUAAUUCUUAUCUAUUCCUUCCCUCUGGCCCUGAUAGUGGAUGUGGAAUUUCCAAGAACUCAUAUUUGUAUCAUCAUGACCCUCAUAUAGGCAGCUCCACUUGUGGAGCCCUUGCUGUAAACCUGAUGGUGAGCUCAGCCCUCUACAUGUGUUUACAUUGAGGUUGUGUAGGAAGGGUUGAGAGCACACUUCACUUUUUGGAGCCAGAUACAUUCGGUUUCAAAAUGUGAGCUUC